rnacentral:rRNA from 1 species
AAUUACAGCCAUACCACCCUGAGAACACCUGACCUCGUCUGAUCUUGGAAGCUAAGCAGGGCCAAGCCUGGCUAGUACUUGGGAGACAGCCUGGGAAUACCGGGUGCAUUGGACUUC